AUGUGUUUCGUUUCUUGAUCCUGUUGACGAGUAUUUUUUAAAGUACAUGACUACGUCAAAAAUAUAUUGCCCAUAGAUUGUUAAGAUUCCAAACUGUGGAAAAACGAGUUUUACUGAGUCUAAUCUUUUUAACUUCAUUAUUAUUCUGAGAGCUCUUUUUUGUUGUAAUAGUAUCUUAUCAAGAGUGGUACAGGGAUUUCAUUGUCUGUAUACUGCAGACAUCUGUCAAUUGCCGCAAAGCAAAAAGGCCGGGGGAUAUCUUUUUUACAACCUGAGAAACAUGUUUAUCCCAUGAUAAGCUGCUAUCAAUAUCAAGGCCUGAGAAUUUUGUGCCAUCCACUAGUUCUAAGGUUUCGCCAUUUAUUUCAACAUUUGGGGACCAAUGAUUAAUUCUUUGCCUUGUAGAAAAAGGAACUACAAUGGACUUGCUGGCGUUUAAAAGAAGAUUCCUAUUAUUUAGAAAUUUAUUAAUGGAAUACAAGCCAACAGCGGAUGCUGCUUCAAUCUCUUCAAUGGAUUCACCCGAGAAGAUGAUGUUUGCAUCAUCAGCAUAAAGACAAACAGCAGCUUUCCCCUGGACCAC